rnacentral:rRNA from 1 species
AUGUACUCCAUCGACGUAAGCAAUAACAGCCUUGCAGGUCAUAUACCCAAAUCUUUCUUUGAUCUUACGAGACUUCAACAACUCAAGCUUGACUCGAAUCACUUCCAAGGCACAGUAGAACUUAGCCUUCUUUGGAAGCUCAGGAGCCUUUAUUCAUUGAUGUUCUCCAAUAAUAUGUUAUCAGUGAAAGAUGUUGAAGAUGACUAUCCAUUCACUUACCUCGAUAACAUCAGAACACUAGGACUAGCAUCUUGCAGCCUUACAAAAAUUCCAAUUGCAUUGAGGUAUACAAAUGAGUUGUCUUACUUGGACCUCUCAAACAACCAAAUAGAUGGAGUCAUACCAAGUUGGAUAUGGAUGAAUUGGAAGGAUAGUAUAUUCUUCUUGGACCUCUCAAACAAUAUGUUCACUUGUCUUGAAAACUCCCCUUCUAUUGUUCAUAUGCACAAUUUAGAAUAUCUCAACCUUAGUUCCAACCAACUGCAUGGCAGUGUGCCCAUACCACUCACAGCUAGAAAGUCCAUGGUUUUCUUAGAUUACUCAAACAAUAACUUCUCUUCUAUUACACCCGAUUUUGGUAGGUAUCUUCCCAACAAUACCAUUUACCUUGAUAUGUCCAAGAAUAAAUGAAGUGGUCACAUACCAAGAUCUAUCUGUACCCAACAUGAUCUUGAUAUACUGGACCUAUCAUACAACAAUUUCAGCGGUGUGGUACCAUCUUGUCUAAUGCAAGGUUACAACAGCUUGAGUACGUUGAAGUUGAGAGAGAAUCAUUUCCAUGGGAUACUGCCUGAAAAUAUUAUAGUAGGAUGUAUGCUUCAGACAAUAGAUUUGAACAACAAUCUAAUUGAAGGGGAAAUACCCAGAUCACUAUCAAAUUGCCAAGGCCUAGAGCUCCUUGAUGUUGGUAACAACCAAAUUGUCGGUUCUUUUCCAUCUUGGUUCGGUAUUCUUCCACAUCUUCGAGUUCUUGUCUUGAGAUCCAACCAACUAAACGGCACCAUAAGGGAUAUUAAACAUGAUCAGACAAUCAACAAUUACUUUGCAAGUUUGCAAAUACUUGAUUUGGCCUCCAACAACUUCUCUGGAAACCUACCAAAAGGAUGGUUUAAUGAACUGAAAGCAAUGAUGGAAAAUGUUAGUGAUGAGGGACAAGUUCUAGGACAUGAGACAUCUUCAAGUGCAGGAUUUUAUCAAGAUACUGUUACCAUCACAUUCAAAGGAUCUGAUCUAAGUUUCAUAAAAAUCCUAAGCACUUUCAAUGCAAUAGAUAUCUCAAAUAAUUCAUUUGAUGGUCAUGUUCCGGAGUCAAUUGGGAUGCUUGUCUCCCUACGCGGACUUAACAUGUCAUACAACAACUUCACGGGACAAAUUCCAUUUCAGUACAGAAACUUAUCUCAGCUGGAACCGAUGGAUCUCUUGAACCAGAUAACAGGGGAAAUACCACAAGAGUUAACCUCACUUACUUCUCUUGAAUGGUUGAAUCUUUCAUGCAACAACUUGUAUGGAAGAAUCCCACAAGGCAACCAGUUCUCAACAUUUUCUGACAGUUCAUUUGAAGGUAAUGCAGGGCUCUGUGGAGUUCCACUCUCCAAGCACUGUGACAAUCAAAGUUCAAUUGCUCCAAGUGAAGUGGCUCCUCCAGAAUCUGACAACUUGUGGCAGGACAAACUCGGCGUUAUCCUUUUGUUCGCGUUUGUUGGCUUGGGAUUUGGAGUCGGCUUUGCACUGUCAUUCUUGUUGCGACUGUAUUGCCGCAUGGAAGUAUGGGUCUACAGGAAAUCAUGA